AUCAAUCACUGUAGCUUUACAGUAUCUUAAAGUGUGGGCAAUAAGUAUUACAGGAUCACAUUCAUAAUUGUUCUUUAAGGUGUUUACAUACUUCUCUAAAAUUUAUUUAGGCGACCCCUAGACUUAAAAUUAUAAGUUUUUAAAUGAAAU